GUUCUGUUUAAAAUGAAUGGAAUAUCUCAAAGAUGUGCUAAAACGACUUUCAGCUAAAACCAGCAGACUAAAUCAGAGGACUGGCAGUUGUCAAGGAGGAAUAUAUCAACAGAACAAGGAAGGAAAUCAAACAGGUUCUGCUCCAGAUCAUGACGUGAUCGCGGCUCUGAAUCGUCCCAGUUCAGGUUUAAUGCUAAUCGUGAUAGGGGUUUUGUACUACUGAACACCUAUGCUGUUAGCAUUAGUCCUGCGCUGGUGGCUAAAUCUCCAAAUCUCAUAACUAGGUUAAAUCUAGUUGUGUAAGUUGUGUUCGCAUUCACACAUCCAGAAACAACUCAAUAAGUAUGAAAUACAUAUAUAUAUAAAAAAAAUAUGUAAAUAAUCACAAAUGACUUAAAAGUCUGUUCAUUGAAUCGUUAAAUUGUAUUUGCAGCUUCUGUCUGAACCGAAAACAAAUAAAAGGAACCUGCAACCA